UACGUAGGGGGCAAGCGUUGUCCGGAAUUAUUGGGCGUAAAGAGCUCGUAGGCGGUCUGUCGCGUCUGCUGUGAAAACCUGGGGCUUAACCCCGGGCCUGCAGUGGGUACGGGCAGACUAGAGUGUGGUAGGGGAGACUGGAAUUCCUGGUGUAGAGGUGAAAUUCGUAGAUAUUAGGAGGAACACCGGUGGCGAAGGCGGGUCUCUGGGAAGUAACUGACGCUGAGAAGCGAAAGCAUGGGUAGCAAACAGG
rnacentral:rRNA from 1 species